rnacentral:rRNA from 1 species
GACAGAGGGUGCAAACGUUGUUCGGAUUUACUGGGCGUAAAGAGCGUGUAGGCGGCCACGCAGGUCCGUUGUGAAAACUGGAGGCUCAACCUUCAGACGUCGACGGAAACCGUGUGGCUAGAGUCCGGAAGAGGAGAGUGGAAUUCCUGGUGUAGCGGUGAAAUGCGCAGAUAUCAGGAAGAACACCAAUGGCGAAGGCAGCUCUCUGGGACGGUACUGACGCUGAGACGCGAAAGCGUGGGGAGCGAACAGG